CAGUAGAGACUCCUACGGGAGGCAGCAGUAGGGAAUCUUCCGCAAUGGGCGAAAGCCUGACGGAGCAACGCCGCGUGAGUGAUGAAGGUCUUCGGAUCGUAAAACUCUGUUAUUAGGGAAGAACAAAUGUGUAAGUAACUAUGCACAUCUUGACGGUACCUAAUCAGAAAGCCACGGCUAACUACGUGCCAGCAGCCGCGGUAAUACGUAGGUGGCAAGCGUUAUCCGGAAUUAUUGGGCGUAAAGCGCGCGUAGGCGGUUUUUUAAG
rnacentral:rRNA from 1 species